CCUACGGGGGGCUGCAGUGGGGAAUAUUGGACAAUGGGCGAAAGCCUGAUCCAGCAAUGCCGCGUGAGUGAUGAAGGCCCUAGGGUUGUAAAGCUCUUUUGCCAGGGAUGCAGUACCUGGAGAAUAAGCCCGGCUAACUCCGUGCCAGCAGCCGCGGUAAUACGGAGGGGCUAGCGUUGUUCGGAAUUACUGGGCGUAAAGCGCGCGUAGGCGGCUUUGUAAGUUAGAGGUGAAAGCCCGGGGCUCAACCCCGGAACUGCCUUUAAAACUGCAUCGCUUGAAUCCGGGAGAGGUGAGUGGAAUUCCGAGUGUAGAGGUGAAAUUCGUAGAUAUUCGGAAGAACACCAGUGGCGAAGGCGGCUCACUGGACCGGAUUGACGCUGAGGUGCGAAAGCGUGGGGAGCAAACAGGAUUAGAUACCCCAGUAGUC
rnacentral:rRNA from 1 species